GCGAGUAUGAUUCAGUGGUAGAAUACUUGCUUCCCAAGCAAGAUACGCGGGUUCGAUUCCCGCUACUCGCA
rnacentral:tRNA from 1 species